GAGGUACUUCUCAGGUUGUCUCCCUGGACCACAAUCUCUACCAUACUGAUAUUCUUGAGGCAUGGCUGGAAUCAUCACAGUGUUCCAAGUUAUCACAUAGCUCUCCAAACACUGUACCACCCAUGCUCCUAGUCUUGACCCCACCCUAGCACUGGUGUAACAUCAUUUGGAUCUCUAAUGUCUCCUGAAGGUUUAUAUGCUGAAGAAUCUGUCCUUAGCUGGGUCCACAUUAGGGAAUGUGUAAACUUGUGGGCCGGACUUCUUGGAAGAAAGUGGACAAUGGUGGAACAUGUCUAUGAAGGUUAUAAAGGGACCCAGAUCCCUUUUCCUAUGGCUGCCAUGAGAUAAGCAACUGUUCUCUACCACACACUCCACCCACAACUGUUUUACUAUAGACUAGAAACUGAGCUCAGUGACUACUCACAUUUUAGCAUUUUGUCACAUCUUAAUGGACCAAUGAGUUUAAUUGAGGAGUAUGUAUGAGGGGUUGCUUACAUAAGCAGAAAUGACUCCAGGACGACUGUAUCACCAAAGCCCACCCUAACACAAAUGACAACUCAAAAAAGCUGGAAACAUGGAGAAUGCUGCACAGCCUAAAGGCAGCUUAGUUUAUUGAAUAGUAUCCCUUCCGAGGACUCAGUUUAUCUAAUCCUAUUCCAGUUGGCUUGACCAAUUUCUGCUUCUUGCAAGGUAUGCUCUGAUUUCAGAGUCUUUUUUGCAGCUUGGGUUAGCCUAGGUUCUCUCUACUACUGUUACACUACCCUUACCAGUCACUGCUCAGUAAAACCAUCCAAACUCCCAGGAUAGUUAACCCUGAUCACCCUGGAUACACGACUAAAAUUCCUUUCUUAUACUCCUUCAGUUUCAAAUUCUGAAGCAUUGUGUAUUUGAAGUAUAACUUACAUACUGUAAAAUGCACAAAUUUUAAAAUAUAAUAUUGUCAGUAAUCCUUUGAGAAUUUCUUAGAAUGCAUUUUAAUCAUACUUAUUUUUCUACUCCAUCAGCUCCUACCAAAUCCAACACACACCUCCCAACCCUCUCCCAACAUUGUGCCUUGCAUUAAAAGCAACAAAGCAAAGCAAAACAAAACAAAACAAGCUUCUUCCAGUGUGCACCUGUGCCUGGAUCAGUGCCUCUGCCCUGGAUCCCAACCCACUCAAUCCACACUCUAGUAGCAGCUCGACCCCCUAAGGGUUCUGACUCAUCCAGGAUCACAGGAUCACAGGUUCACAGGUUCACAGGUUCACAGGCUCACAAGAGGGACAGGUUCUAGUCAGAGACAGCAAGGCAAGUUAAUGCCAGAGAUAAUCAGAUGGGGAGAGGCAAGCACGAGAAAAUAAGCAACAGAAACCAAUACUACUAGGCAACAUCAGAACUCAGUUCUCUCACCACAGCAAGCCCUGGAUAGCCCAACAUACCUAUAAAGCAAGAUUCAGAUCUAAAUUCUCAUCUCAUGAAGAUGAUAAGUGACUUUAAGAAGGACAUGAAUAACUCCCUUAAAGAAAUAUAGAACAAAUGAAACUCAAGACGGAUGAUCAAAAUGUGAAUGCUUCACUCCUUCUUUAAAAGGGGAACAAAAAUACCCUUGGCAGGGAAGAGAGAGGCAAAGAUUAAAACAGACACAGAAGGAACACCCAUUCAGAGCCUGCCCCACAUGUGGCCCAUGCAUAUACAGCCAUCCAAUUAGACAAGAUGGAUGAAGCAAAGAAGUGCAGGCUGACAGGAGCCGGAUGUAGAUCUCUCCCGAGAGACACAGCCAGAAUACAGCAAACACAGAGGCGUAUGCCAGCAGCAAACCACUGAAUUGAGAAUAAGACCCCCGUUGAAGGAAUCAGAGAAAGAACUGGAAGAGCUUGAAGGGGCUCGAGACCCCAUAUGAACAACAAUGCCAAGCAACCAGAGCUUCCAGGGACUAAGCCACUACCUAAAGACUAUACAUGGACUGACCCUGGACUCUGACCUCAUAGGUAGCAAUGAAUAUCCUAGUAAGAGCACCAGUGGAAGGGGAAGCCCUGGGUCCUGCUAAGACUGAACCCCCAGUGAACUAGAUUGUUGGGGGGAGGGCGGCAAGGGGGGAGGAUGGGGAAGGGGAACACCCAUAAAGAAGGGAAGGGGGGAGGGGGAUGUUUGCCCAGAAACCGGGAAAGGGAAUAACACUCGAAAUGUAUAUAAGAAAUACUCAAGUUAAUAAAAAAAAAAAAAGAAAUAUAGGAGAACACAAGUAAACAAGUAGAAGCCCUUAAAAACACAUAAAUCCCUUAAAGAAAUACAGGAAAGCAUAGUCAAACAGGUGAAGGAAUUGAACAAAACCAUCCAGGAUCUAAAAAGGGAAAUAGAAGCAUUAAAGAAAACACAAAGGGAGAAAACUCUGGAGAUGGAAAACUUAGGAAAGAGAUCAGGAAUCACAGAUGUGAGCAUCACCAACAGAACACAAGAGAUUGAAGAGAGAAUCUCAGGUGUAGAUUACCAUAAAAGACAUUGACACAACAGUCAAGGAAAAUACAAAAAACGAAAAGCUCCUAACUCAAAAAUAUUCAAGAAAUUCAUGACACAAUGAGAAGACCAAACCUAAGGAUAAUAGGUAUAGAAGAGAGUGAAGAUUCCCAACUCAAAGAGCCAGUGAACAUCUUUGACAAAAUUAUAGAAGAAAACUUCCACAACCUAAAGAAAGAGAUACCCAUAAACAUGUAAGAAGCCUACAGAACACCAAACAGAUGGAACCAGAAAAGAAAUUCUUCUGAUCACAUAAUUAAAACACCAAAUGCAUAGAGCAAAGAAAGAAUAUUGAAAGCAGUAAGGGAAAAAGGUCAUGUAACAUAUAAAGUCAGACCUAUCAGAAUUACCACAGACUUCUCAACACAAACUCUAAAAGCCAGAAGAUCUUGGGCAGAUGUCAUACAGACUAUAAGAGAACAAAAAUGCCGGUCCAGGCUAACAUACUCAGCAAAACUCUCAAUUACCAUAGAUGAAAAACCGAGGUAUGCCAAGACAAAACAAAAUUUAAACAACAUCUUUCCACUAAUUCAGAUCUACAGAGGAUAAUAGAAGGAAAAGUUCAACACAAGGAGGGAAACUACUCCCAAGAAAAAGCAAGAAAUUUAACUUUUCACAACAAACCCAAAAGAAGAGAAACACAAAAGCAUACUUCCACAAACAAGAAUAACAGGAAGUAAAAAAAUCAUUGGUCCCUAAUAUCUCUUAAUACCAAUGGACUAAAUUUCCCAAUAAAAACAAGUAUGCUAACAGACUGCAUACAUAAACUGGACCCAGCAUUUUGCUGCAUACAGGAAACACAACUCGGUGACAAAGACAGACACUACUUCAAAGUAAAAGGCUAGAAAGAUUUUUUCCAAGCAAAUAGUUCCAAGAAACAAGCUGGAGUAGCCAUUUUAAUAUCCAAUAAAGUCAACUUUCAACCAAAAGUUACUAAAAAAAGAUGGGGAAGGGCACUACAUAUUCAUCAAAGGAAAAAUCCACCAAGAUAAGCUCUCAAUUCUAACCAUCUAUGCUCCAAAUGCAAGGGCACCCACGUUUGUAAGAGAAAUGUUAUUGAUGCUGAAAGCACACAUUGCACCUCACACAAUAACAGUAGGAGAUUUCGACAUCCCAUUCUCACCAAUGAGCAGAUCACAGAAACAGAAACUAAACAGAGAUACAGUGAAACUAAAAGACGUUAUAAACAAAAUGGAUUUAACAGAUAUCUACAGAAUAUUCUACCCUAAAACAAAAGAGUAUACCUUCUUCUCAGUGCCACAUGGUACCUUCUCAAAAAUCAAACAUAUAAUCGGACACAAAACAAACCUCAACAGAUACAAGAACAUCAAUUAAUACCAUAUAUUCUAUCAGACUACCACAGACUAAGGCUGGUCUUCAAUAACAACAAAAACAACAGAAAGCCCACAUACACGUGGAGGCUGAAAAACUAUCUACUCCAUGACAACUUGGUGAGGGAAGAAAUAAGAAAGAAAUAAAAGAUUUUUUUAGAAUUUAGGGAAAAUGAAGGCACAACAUAUCCAAACUUGUGGGACACAAUGAAAGCAGUGCUAAUAAGAAAACUCCUAGCCCUAAGUGCCUCCAUAAAGAAAUCGGAGCGAUCAUACACUAGCAGUUUAACAGCAUAUCUGAGGAAAAAGAAGCAAAUACUCACAAGAGAAGUAGACAGCAGGAAAUAAUCAAACUCAGGGCUGAAAUCAACCAAGAAGAAACAAAGAGAUCUAUAGAAAGAAUCAACAAAACCAGGUGCUUGUCUUUGAAAAAAUCAACAAGAUAGAUAAACCUUUAGCCAGACUAAUCAAGGGCAUAGAAACAGUAUCCAAAUAAACAAAAUCAGAAAUGGAAAGGGAGCCAUAACAACAGAAACUAAGGAAAUUCAAAAAAUAAUCAGGUCCUACUACAAACAUUUAUAUUCAACAAAACUGAAAAAUCUAGAUGAAACGAAUGAUUUUCUAGACAGAUACCAGGUACCAAAGUUAAAUCAGGAUCAAAUAAACCAUCUAAAUAGUUCCAUAACCCCCAAGGAAAUAGAAGCAGUCAUUAGAAGUCUCUCAACCAAAAAGAGCUUAGGAUCAGAUGGGUUUAGUGCAGAAUUCUAUCGGACUUUCAAAGAAGAUUUAAUACCUCUUCAAACUAUCCCACAGAAUAGAAACAGAAGGAACACUAUCCAAUUCUUUUUAUAAAGCCACAGUUACACUGAUACCUAAACCCCAAAAAGACCCAACAAAGAAAGAGAACUUCAAACCCAUUUCCCUUAUGAAUAUCGAUGCAAAAUACUCAAUAAAAUUCUCAAAAACUAAAAAAAAAAAUUCUCAAAAACUGAAUCCAAGAACACACAAAAAUGAUCAUUCAUUAUGAUCAAGUAGGCUUCACAUGAGGAAUACAAGGAUGGUUCAAUAUAUGGAAAUCCAUCAAUGUAAUCCACUAUAUAAGCAAACUCAAAGGAAAACACCACACAAUCAGAUGCUGAGAAAUCCUUUGACAAAAUACAAAACUCCUUCAUGUUAAAAGUAUUGAAGAGAUCAGGAAAUCAAGGUGCACACCUAAAUAUAAUAAAAACAAUGUAUAGCAAACUAAUAGCCAACAUCAAACUAAAUGGAGAGAAACUCAAAGCAAUCCCACUAAAAUUAGGGACAAGACAAGGCUGCCAACUCUCUUUCUACCUAUUCAAUAUAGUACUUGAAGUUCUAGCCAAAGCUAUUAGACAACAAAAGGAGAUUAAAGGGAUACAAAUUGGGAAGGAGGAAGUCAAGAUAUCACUAUCUGCAGUUGGUAUGAUAGUAUAUAUAGGUGACCCCAAAUAUUUUACCAGAGAGCUCCUACAGCUGAUAAACAACUUCAGUAAAGUGGCUAGAUAUAAAAUUAACUCUGAAAGACCCCCUCCCAGAAAGGGAAUUGUACAAGCCCAAGGCCCUCAACUAUAGAAGUAAAAAGUAAGUUUUUAGAUAUGUGGGACAAGCUGACCCAACAUUUAGACAAAAUAGCCCAGAAAAGAAAACAAAAUGCAGAAACCAGACUAAAUUAUGGGCACUGCUCCAUGGGCCACCUGGCAGGAAAAAGAAAAAGUCCCUGACCCCCCGGAAGCCCUGACCACCAUGUACUUUUUGCUAACUCAUUGUUAUGAUUAUAGCCAAAAUAAGUAACAUACACGUAUGCCUCAUUUACUCCACCAAUCACAUCCCUGUAACCAUGCAUCUGCUUCUGUAAGCCUGCUUCUGCUCCCCAAAAUACUAUAAAAAGCCCACCCUGGCUCUGCUAGGUGCGCCAGUCUUCCGAAUUGACUGGGACGCCCACAGAUACCUGUGUAUCCUGAUCAAUAAAAAUCCUCUUGCUUUUUGCAGCCUGUGGACUCGGACUGGUCAUUGGGCUUGAGGAUCUCCCUCCUGAGGGAAGAUUCUCUCUGAGAGUCUUACAUAUGGGGGCUCGUCCGGGAUCGGAGAUCCUCUGCCUAGAGACCACCGACCACCCACCGGGAGUAACUGUUACAGGUCUUCUUUACCACUGAGGAAAGACGGAAUCCUACUGGAGGCCAGAAAGAAUGUUCCAGACAUGGAUGGAAGACCCUCACUCCUGACUGUUGACUUGAAUACCCCUGAAGGUAGGGAGUGCUCCGGGUCUGCCACCAGGCUCCAAGGGUGGGUCUCUGAGGGGCUGGAAAAUGCCCCACCAAUCUGGCUAAGAUAAGGAAAAGAUAUAAAGAGAGAAAGUUACAGAAAUUUGAAGGGUUAAGCUAAGUUGCUGAGAGUUAGUGUAAGUUGCAGAGAAAGUAAAGUUGAAGUGUAGUAAGUGGACAGCAUCUAAUAGCUGUAGAGGAAGGUGCAGAUAUAAGAGAGAGACUGAGGAAGAGAAAGAGGAAAGAAGGUAAAAAGAGCAGGAAGCUAAGGAAGAAAAGAAGAAGCUAGAGAGCUAAAGAGAGAUAAAAGACAAGAGAGAAAUAUAUACUGGCCACAGUAGUUAAGGAACCUAAGAAGACAGUACCCGGCAACAGAAGAGAAUUCCUAAGCUAAAGAUCAGUGUGCCUAUCGCAAGGAAAAAGGACACUGGGUCAGGGACUGCCCCAGGAAGAACAAGAGAGGCCUCUCCAGCAGCCCGGAAGGCAAGCCUCUUGGUCCUAGAGUGCUGGCUAUGCGCUAAGAUAGAAGGGAAGCUCGCCCAGCUGUUUUGUGAAUAUGGGGGCCCAACACUCUGUGCUCCUCCACCCAAAUGGGCUAGUGUCCAGCAAAAGACCUUGAGUACAGGGGACUACCGGCAACAAAUGAUACUCAUGGACUACCCGAAGAACAGUGGACCUUGGCGUGGGCCGGGUAUCCCACUUGUUCCUUGUGAUUCCAGACUGCCCCUACGAGUCUAAACCCUGCAACCCUGCUCCCGGACCCCGACCUAGACACCCCCCUUCAUGACUGUCAGCAGGUGCUCACUAAAGCACAGGAGUGGCAUAAAGAUCGGACUGAUCAGCCAACAGAUGGGGUAGAUGCCAUCUGGUUCAUAGAUGGGAGCAGCUUCUUAGAGAAGGAAAAAGAUGGGCUGGGGCAACAGUGGUAGAUGGAAACAGAAUCAUAUGGGCUCAGGCCCUACCAGAAGGCACUUCUACUCAGAGAGUAGAGCUCGCUCCCCUCACCAAAGCCCUUGAACUGAGAAAAAGACUUAACAUCUCUGUGGACAGCAGCAGAGGGGCCUGCUGACAUCUGAGGGCAAGAAAAAAAAGAGAUUCUGGCUCUGUUAAAGGCCCUACAUGACCCAGCCAGGCCGAGGAAGAGACUCUGGUACACCUCAACGAGAAAGAAGAUCCUGCUACAAAAAUAGGCAGAGGCCAUGAUAAAACAAAUGCAUCAAUAGACUCACUUAGGGGUAAGCAAACUCAUCCAGAUGUUUUCAAAAACUAAAUAUUAUGUCACAGGUCUCAAGUAUCUCGUGGAACAGAUAGUGCACUGAUGUAUACCAUGCCAAAAGGUAACUGUUUUCAGGAAAGUUGACUGUGGUAGGAGGCUCCGUGGGGAACGGCCUGGAUCCUACUGAGAAGCGGACUUCACAGAGAUAAAACCAGGAAAAUAUGGGUAUAAAUGUCUCCUAGUAUUUAUAGAUAUCUUUUCAGGAAUAGGUAGAAGCUUUCCCCACCAAACAAGAGACGGCCUCUACAAUCAUCAAGAAGAUACUGGAAGAAAUCUUCCCCCGAUUUAGAAUGCCCAAGGUAAUCUGGUCAGACAACAGCCCUACUUUCGUUGCCAAGGUAAGCCAGGGUGUGGCCAAGUAUUUAGAGGUCAAUUGAAAAUUACGUUAUAUUUACAGACCUCAAAGUUCAGGACAGGUAGAAUAAAUAAAUAAAAUUUUAAAAGAGACCCUGACCAAAUUAACCAUGGAGACUGGCACAGACUGGGUGACACUCCUUCCCUCUUGCUCUCUUUAGAGCAAGAAAUACCCCUUCCAGAUUCAGCUUUACCCCCUUUGAGAUCUUAUAUGGGGCCUCAGCUCCCCUGACUGUAUUAGAUGAUGUUACUGAACCAACAUGUCAUAGUAAUAAUGAUUUGUAUGCCAGGCUAAAAGACCUACAGGUGAUAUAGAAAGAAAUCUGCUCACAGCUGACAGCAGCCUAUGCCCCGGGGACCCCCGAGACAUGUCGUCAGUUCCAGGUUAGAGACUACAGCUACACUGAGCCCAGACACUCGAGCCUCGCUGGAAAGGACCAUACCUGGUGCUGCUGACCACCCUGACAGCCGUCAAGUCUCAGCCCUCACCAGCAGCGUACUAGCUGUUGGGGCUGAGAGCUGGGACCUAGAGGGACACUCAGAUCUUCAAAAAGCUCCCUAGACUUAAGUGAUUGGGAGGUUGCUAUAAUGCUCACUUGAGGAGUGUGUUUUAGAAACAAGAAUUUCAUGUUUGCCUGUUUGCCCUGGGUUCCCUCGGAAUAGGUGUAAGGAUAGGCUUGAUUUUUAUUACAAAUGAUGUAACAUUACAUAUGUUAGUACUCCUAACACUUCUUGGGACUGUGCCUCAGGGAUCACAACCUAUAUAAGUUUAGAAGUUCUAAAAGACCUUGGUGUAUAGGUUCAGAUAGUGUCCAGAUUAGAAUCCUGAUGCUAAAGACUUAAUAAGACACAAAAGAGAGUUGAGAAUUAUUUAAGGCUAUCUAGGUGCUACAAGGACAGCACAAGGACAUCUGCUGUUGCCCUACAAUGCAAGGCUUAUAGAGAAUUCAGAACUGCCAUUGACUCAGAUAUAAAAAGAGUAAAAAAGACUUUUUAGCUGACCUCCAAGAAUACCUAACCUCCCUCUCAGAGGUAGUCCUUCAAAAUAGGAAAAGAUUAGACCUGAUAUUCCUUAAAGAAAGAGUCUGUGUGCUACACUAAAAGAAGAAUGUUGUUUCUAUGCAGAUCAGACAGGAAUAAUAAGAGAUACAGACUUUCAGUCAUUCAAACUUUUGUGCUGAGACAACAGUAUCAGAUGGUGAAACAACAAAAAACAGAGGUACCUUAACCAAGUUGAGUGGAAGAUUCCACUCAAGGACAAAAAGAAAAUGGGGGAAUGAAAGACCCCCUCCCAGAAAGGGAAUUGUACAAGCCCAAGGCCCUCAACUAUAGAAGUAAAAAGUAAGUUUUUAGAUAUGUGGGACAAGCUGACCCAACAUUUAGACAAAAUAGCCCAGAAAAGAAAACAAAAUGCAGAAACCAGACUAAAUUAUGGGCACUGCUCCAUGGGCCACCUGGCAGGAAAAAGAAAAAGUCCCUGACCCCCCGGAAGCCCUGACCACCAUGUACUUUUUGCUAACUCAUUGUUAUGAUUAUAGCCAAAAUAAGUAACAUACACGUAUGCCUCAUUUACUCCACCAAUCACAUCCCUGUAACCAUGCAUCUGCUUCUGUAAGCCUGCUUCUGCUCCCCAAAAUACUAUAAAAAGCCCACCCUGGCUCUGCUAGGUGCGCCAGUCUUCCGAAUUGACUGGGACGCCCACAGAUACCUGUGUAUCCUGAUCAAUAAAAAUCCUCUUGCUGAUUGCA